rnacentral:rRNA from 1 species
CAGUGGCGAACGGGUGAGUAACACGUGGGAAAUCUGCCCUGCACUCUGGGACAAGCCUUGGAAACGAGGUCUAAUACCGGAUAUGACCUUCCUCUGCAUGGGGGUUGGUGGAAAGCUCCGGCGGUGCAGGAUGAUCCCGCGGCCUAUCAGCUUGUUGGUGGGGUAAUGGCCUACCAAGGCGACGACGGGUAGCCGGCCUGAGAGGGCGACCGGCCACACUGGGACUGAGACACGGCCCAGACUCCUACGGGAGGCAGCAGUGGGGAAUAUUGCACAAUGGGCGAAAGCCUGAUGCAGCGACGCCGCGUGAGGGAUGACGGCCUUCGGGUUGUAAACCUCUUUCAGCAGGGAAGAAGCGCAAGUGACGGUACCUGCAGAAGAAGCACCGGCUAACUACGUGCCAGCAGCCGCGGUAAUACGUAGGGUGCGAGCGUUGUCCGGAAUUAUUGGGCGUAAAGAGCUCGUAGGCGGCCUGUCGCGUCGGAUGUGAAAGCCCCGGGGCUUAACCCCGGGUCUGCAUUCGAUACGGGCAGGCUAGAGUGUGGNAGGGGNAGAUNNGGAUUUCCCU